CUAAAAGGUCGUAUCCUCCGAUCGUAGCUGAUCGUAACCAUUCAAGUUAACGUGUCAAUUUACACCGACUUCUUUCCGUUCCUCUGCGGAUCGCCAGACUCCUCAGCUGAUCACAAGAGUUCUAUUUUUUCUGGACGCCGGAGCAUGGCGGAUAAAUUCAGCACAGAUUAACCCGUGCUGGAAAGGAAGUCGGGCACAGACACAAAAUAAAACAUCCGGCUUCUUUUCAAAAUAAAACACUCCGUGUUUCAGGAGGAUCGUAUUUCACACCAUGCAAACGGGCGGAGACGAACAAGUGAAAGGUUUUUAGACGUCAUUUCACCCCGAUGACACCAUGGAUGAGGAGAUGCUGAUUCUAGAAGUCUAGAAGUAGAUUUCCUCCUCUGGAAGGACACAAUCUACUGCUU